UGGGGAAUCUUCCGCAAUGGACGAAAGUCUGACGGAGCAACGCCGCGUGAGUGAAGACGGCCUUCGGGUUGUAAAGCUCUGUGAUCCGGGACGAAAGAGCCUGAGGUGAAUAGCCUAAGGAAGUGACGGUACCGGAAAAGCAAGCCACGGCUAACUACGUGCCAGCAGCCGCGGUAAUACGUAGGUGGCAAGCGUUGUCCGGAAUUAUUGGGCGUAAAGCGCGCGCAGGCGGCUUCCUAAGUCCAUCUUAAAAGUGCGGGGCUUAACCCCGGGAUGGGAUGGAAACUGGGAAGCUGGGGUAUCGGAGAGGAAAGUGGAAUUCCUAGUGUAGCGGUGAAAUGCGUAGAGAUUAGGAAGAACCCCGGGGGCGAAGGGGACUUUCUGGACGAAAACUGGCGCUGGGGCGCGAAAGCGUGGGGAGCAAACAGG
rnacentral:rRNA from 1 species